GGUAACGUGCGCUUGGAAAAGUUAAUGUUACGAAGAAAAUGGUCCUCAGGUGCGCUUGGGGAACGUGCAAUUCUGAUGAAAGUUAACCCUGCUAUGUUACAAGGUGCCCGCUUGAUUCAUUUUCCAAAGCCUAAAGCACAGUUGACAAAAGUGUCUACGAUGGAUUAGGGCCCGGGGAAGAGCGCACGUACAACAAAAUGUGGACAAUAUCAACAAAUGCAAGGCUGUAUGUUCGAAGCCAAAUCGCAUCCGGAUUUGGGAAUGCAGGCAUAGCACAUGCCGGAGUCGUUCACGGGCAGCAAACAUCUCCGCAAGAAGUCAUUCAACAUCCCAGUAGCUGAAGGAUUGGAUUCGACGGCGAAUUAGUGUGUGGUCACACUCGAGUCUUCACAGAAGGUCAAAAAUGCUGUCUGUAUUUAUUAUUGAUGUAAGACUUCUCGCAAAAUCCUCCAGCUGUGUUUCCAAGCCCUCGCUCCCAAAAAAAGAGAAAGUGGAACAACAUGUGGCGAGCGGCGACGAUGUGGACCGAAACCCAUUUCGAGGGCUGAAAUACCACCGGGCCCUAUCCAAAUAUUUUCUCAGAGUCCCGGCUUCAUUCUGGAGGCAGUUAGCCUUCCCCAACGAGGCUCACAAGAGUGACGCACGGCUCCGACAUUGACUCCCAGGCUGUUUUGGGAUCGUUAAAAGCUAAUUUGUCGGCCUCCGCCGCGAGGGAGACGAAGCCUGAAGCGGUCGCCUAAUGGGACGGCCCACUUGCUCUAAUUACAUUCACGUCGCACGGCUGGGGACCUCGAGGCCGUCCUACCCUGGGUACGAGUUUCAUCUUCAGAGUCACCUGGUCACAUCUUUACCGUUAAUAUUCGCAAGUUGGAAUAUCAACUUCAGAUGCAUGUUGAUGACCUUGAAAGCGCCAGGCCUGCAAGUUCCUCAACAUGAGUCGUAUAGUACGAAGACAAAAGUGAGAUGAGGCAGUUAUUGGAUGGCAGUUAAUCACGCCAAGGGCGGAUUGAGGAGACGAAGUGGACCACAGGGAAAGUUUUUUCCGUUUUCAAUCUGGGCGAUAGCAACAGCAAAACUACUGCCAAAUUAGAGGGAGUCGGAGGAUGUUUUCACCUGGACAGUGACCCCCCAAACACCACACAUACCAUACGCACGCAAAAGUUGUCAUCAGUGUAAAAGUUGAUUUUAUUAUGCCCUUAAAGCACAGUCAAGUUGACAGGAUCAGAAUAGUUCCACUGUUAAAAUGCAUGUUGAAAUAAUUCAUAUUUUAGCCUGUGCAAUUUUUUGCUAUCUAAGAAACAAAAACUAUUACUGUUAUGGCCAUGAUGAAAUCCGAGUUCACGUGUUGCAGCACCAAGGAAGUGGACAACACACCGUCAGUGAGAAUAGACAAAGACAGGCACCGAUACACAGUCACAGUUUGUUUGUUGGGGCAGGGAACGGGCCGGUCUGGGGGUCAGAGGUGACCGAUUUACAGUCAAAUAGGUGACAGAUGGGAAGCAGCGCCGACUUCUUGGACAUAGCGUCGCCACUGUCAGAUGCUGCCGGAAGUUGUCCAAUGUGGGAGUACCAUAUUUUGGCAAUUGCACAGGUCCUUGUAAAGACGAAGAAUUCGUCAACUGCAUAAAAAUCGGGUACCAAGCAAGCGUGAUGGAGGACCAAAACACCAAGAAAAGUUGGAAAAGAUUUGAAUCACCAGUGACAGGCCAAUCAAAAUCCAGGAUACAGAGCAGUUCACGUCAUCGUCAAGAGGGUCAGGCUUUGAAGAUCGGGAAUUUGAUGCAAUGAUCUAUAAUCCUCUGGUGGGAUCUGAGGAAAUACUACUCGGAUUUCACUGUUGACUUCAUCCGCGAUUCACAAGAGCAGAAACUGAGAAACUCACACAAAGUUCAUCAGGCAGAACUCCUGGUCUUUGGUGGAACGGUGGAUUCGGGGUAGGUGGAGGGAGGCUAGCACAGAUGACGGUUGGACGGUCUCACACUCAUUGCACCAUCAACAAUCAAUAGGGAGUGUGUCACUGUGGCGACUUGGACAUGAUUGGCUGUUUGUCAUGACCGAAAUGAUAGACACAAUGGGCCACAAAAUUAAACAUUUCAGUUCUAUGUUUGCAUUGAACUCCAACUAAAGAGGAUUUCUGAUUCUUUUGGCCCUCAACGGGCAAAAAUCUACACCAAAAAAUAUCCUCUGAGUGUGUUUAUACGUCGCCAUCUCAUCAACUGCAGCUCAAAACUCAAACGUCCGCCAGUAACGUUUGACAUUUGCAUGUUGCCUUUCAAAACCUUCACUAUACCUAAUAUUUGAUAAGUAUAUUUUAAGUUUCCUAUUGCCCCAAGAUGGAUUGUCAUCCAGCAUAUGAGAGUCACAGCCUGAGAAUAAAAAACAAAACAAAACAAAGAGUCCACAUCACUUCUUAUCAGUGGGUGUAUGUUGGGCUAAUAUGAAUAGUCUCCAGUAUUCUUGGCUGGCCUAUAUCGAGGGGCACAAUUUAUUCUUCAUUUUUCCAGCAUUUAAGAAUGGUUUUCCUUGGCAGCACUCCAAAAUCCAUCUGUGCUUUGGAACUUGCUGCAAUAUUAAAUUGUCAUUUGGGACUAAAAAGUUUUCAAGCUUGCUUGAAAUUCCCAUUUGUGUUUUGACUCGCUGAUUCUUUUGUCGAGGUGUCGGCUUCUGGUCUUUCUCGCCGCCAGUCGGCAGGAUGAUGACAGCCCUUCCAUUCUUCCCCCUGAUGAUUAUUUUUUGCAUUUACAUAAGAAAGCGCCGGUCAGACCUUGGGCGAGUCCUUUGGCUGGUUUUCACAUGGACUGCUGGUUCACCUUGACUUCUGCUCACAGGGGACGGCUUUGGGGUGUUCGGCUGCAUUUUUAUAAAUCGCACCUGGGGCGGUCUGUUCUUAUUUUAAUCAUGAAAUCCAGAUGCUUCCUUUUCCAGCAGAACAAGCAUCCACCUUCACAAAAUACAAAGUUCCCCGUUUUUGAGAGAAUGUGAUAUUAAAGCUUUCAAGGAACUCGGUUCGUGAAAACGGAGACCAAAUUCCUCCUAAUUGAGCCCGAGGCUUUUUGUUUUGUCAGGAGAUUUAAGAGCAACUGGAGCCAGCUUCUCGCAGGUCUCCUGGGGUGGGAGGUCCCGGCCAGAGUGAAGCAGAGCCACAAGAUCCCAGCAGUCCCCGGCCUCUAAUCCCCGCCGUUAACGGGGGCGGCUGCCCUCUCAUCAGCGUCACCGCCAUCCCUUUGUCGCUGUAUUUCUUCCCCGACAUCCUCUCUAUCAUUUGACUCAUCUCCCGCUUCUUUAUUUGCUGCGGUGUUAUUGUUUCCUCCGCCGUUUCCUUCCCGCUCUUCCCCUUUGACCCCGAACAUCUCCUGUGUGGCACCUCAUCCAAACGUGCCCUACCGGUGUUAUUUUUCUGAAUGUCUAGUCGGUCUACAAUAACGAUGAAAAACUGGGCUUCGGUUUGUCAAUACAUUUUUCUGUCACACGCUUAAACUCGAACUGAUGGAAAGACGGUUGCGCCGGAGGUGUGAGCCCCCCCGAGUAGCAAGAAGGGAAACACCUUGUGACCCGCUCGCUCCCGACCGAGCUUCUACGGGGGCAGGACGACAAAAGUGGGUGAGCACCGAAGAGAAAGUGCUUCAAACUUUGAACUGAUCAGAGUCGAAAGGUCACAAGAGAAACAAUGCUCGCAUCUUUUGACGGGGUAAACAUGAACGAAAGCAUCGGAGAGACCGUCAAUAUUGUUGUGGCAACAAAGACGAUCAACUUGCAAACGCUGGCAUAAUUUCAUCCUGACCAGGCAAAGUCGAGGUCCGCGUGUGGCCGAGAAGCCCAACCGUCUCUCGGGCCAAAUUCAAAUGGACGUUUUGAACACAGAAUUCGGCUUACUUGCGGCCUCUGUAUUUACCUUUCCAGUACAGAUCAAGUUCACAAUGUACCCUGACACAUAUGGUGUCGAAAAUAACUCAGGACAAGUUAUUUAAGGGUAGAAGUUUGACUCGUACUAAGCUAAGUGACCCCAAUAACCUUUCAAACGUUGGAGAUCUUGAUGAUGUUCCACCAGAGUGCGAAUUUAGGAAUAAAAUCCAGAAACAAUGGAGCAGCCUUCUCAAGUCCAACGUGAAUCUGAUUGGGUGGGGUUCUGUGUUGAUGAAGUUUAAGCGUCGUCAGAUGUGAGGAGCUAUACGAAGUCCAUUGUCCUUGGGUUUAAGAGUUGAAUUAAGGACGCCAUGAUUUUAAAGUGCCUUUAAGGGUUCUGUCAUAAAACGAUGGCUAAUUGUCAUUUGCCAGAGAGAAGAAGAAGAGAGCGAAGCGGCACGUUAAUAAGCUGCCGCCUAGCAACCUCCUCAACGGGUGUUGCACCCUCGCACAUUUGGGGCUGUGCCACUGGCUCCGCGGCACGAGCGUGUGACUUCGUCUGGCACGGACGAGUUGGCGCUUAGCGAGGCCGUGCGAAAGCUCUCCCAUCCAAACCCAAUCAGGCGGAAACGCACCUCAGAAAGCAGCGGAGGAGUUCACGUUAUUUUCGUGAUGAAACGCUCGCUGUCCGACUUUGUUACCCGCUUGUUUGGAGUGACGUCUCGCCGUGAUCCUCCGUGGGCCACGCAGCCUUUGAGCUCUGCGAAUGCCGCCGCGUGAUUUGUGGGGUAUCACUGGUCGCAAAUCACAUAAAGGGGAGCGCGUGCGCCGGCAACAAUUUUCACUUCAAACAAUCCUCGCGGCUUCGUCCGUUUUAUCAGCUCCUCUGAUCCCACCGGGGCUGACACGCAGAUAUUAUAAACGGUCCCCGUGCGUCCUUUUGCUCAUUAAAUAUCGUCUGAUACCCCAAACCUUCUGCCUUUGUGUUGAAAAAUAUCAUAACCUUGUCAGAUUCCACGAGGAUGUUUCUUUGAAACUUUUUAAUAUCGAAACCAAAGUGAGUAAAUCUUCCACCACCACCACCUCCGACGGCCGUAAAAGUGACUCGAGGAUCAGCAUCAGGUCUUUAUCUGGCCGCCUAUCAAGACCAUGAUUAGCACGUGAGGAGGUCUUCAGAAGAUAUCCAAGACGAGGCUCUCAUCUGACCAUCUGUUUCUUAUCUCCUUGCUUUUAGUUCUGAAAUCUACACGUUUAUUUGUCCAAGGGACACGAGCGGCAGGCCGCCAAGGGUCUCCCUGGGGGCGGAGGUGGAGGUGGGCCCCCACCUGCUGUGAGAUUGGCUGUCUCGCGACAGUCGCGGCGGGCUGGCUGAGGAGGAGCAAGUGGAGCCGGAAACCGCUUGAGUUUUGCCAGGAUCGCUUUCAAGAGAAAAUUCUUUUCUAUACGGAUGACCGGCGUGUAAAGGAAUGUGGAGAGGAAAAAGGACAAAUUAAAGAACUGUAAAAAGAAGAAGAAGAAAAAACAGACUUCUUGGCCUCCACAUAAGCGGUUCUUGCACAGUUUGCGAUUCAGGGAGGACGGCAUAGUCACAUCUGGAUCUGCAACUCUGGUGAUUUGACCCUAGGGGAGCCAUUUUGAUAGAUUUAAUCCAAAUAUGAUUAAAAAAGAAGAAUUUAAAAUUGCUCAAGGGCGUAGCCAAAAUGAUUUGAGCAACCUCAAUCACCUCAACAAUGGGGAAUAGAAUUAAGAUGAAGCAUAUCUUCAAGUAUUUUGAAAAAUGGAAAUCAGCUUUGCUCAAAUAUGUAUUUAGUCUGGUGGCGCAGCUGGUAAAGCGUUGGCCUCACAGUUCUGAGGUCCCGGGUUCAAUCCUGCAGCCGGACCUGGCUGUGUGGAGUUUGCAUGAUCUCCCCGUGCCUUUGUGGGUUUCGUCCGGGCACUCAUUAAUGCAACAUUAAUUAGACACUCUAAAUUGCCCCUCGGUGUGAUUCUGAGUGUGUCUGUUUGUUUCAAUGUGCCCUGUGAUUGGCUGGCAACCUCUUCAGGGUGUACCCCGCCUCCUGCCAGUUGGCAGCUGGGAUGGGCUCCAGUGCUCCCCGUGACCCUCGUGAGGAUAAGCGAUGAAGAAAAUGGAUGAAUGGAUUUAGUCAGUGCAAGGCUAUCAAAUGGACAACAAAUUGAAGGAAUAAAGGUGGUGUAAUGAUUUUCCCAAGAUUAGAGAUUUAUUUCAAACAUUUUUCAUCCUCGGACCAUUUCUGGUAUGACAAAAAACUGAUGCAAAAAUAUUUUUAGUGUCAAUAUUAUUAAAAGAAAUUAACAGCAGCUCAAAUGAUCAAAACCAACGCAUACAGUCAAAUAAAAGCAAAACCAAAAUAUGUACUUGCUUUUCAAUGGCCUCAACAAAAGCAGCGUCAACGCGAAGUUUCCUUUUGUUUGCGUUUGAAAGCGCCGCGUUUGCGUUGUCUUUCUCAUGGAAAUGAAUCCGCAGGCCGGAGAUUUCAAUCCACGUGCCGCCAUUUCAUCUAAUCUUCAAACACUUUGACGUUCAGAGUCUUCAUAAUGACACUGACGUGACUUUGUACUUGGUAAUAUUUAUUUGAGUUAGGUUUGUUAGGUUAAUCUGUGUUUUUUGCGUGUAAUGGGGCUAAUUGUGAUGCAAAACGUGGUGACUCAAGUCGCGACGUGUCCAGAGAAGGUGGCGAAGUUUCGAUGGACCACGCAGGGCAGACGCAAAAGUGAAAUCAGGAAAAGGUAAUGCGGUGUUUGCUGGACACAUUUUCAAAUUUUCAUUCAAAAAGUCACGAUUUGUGAAAUGUCUCCACACGCGUCAAAUUAACGGCCAUUAAAAUCGAGUUAGGCAUUGCGGCAAUUUGGUACCCAAAACAAAUCCAGAUCGGGUUUGACCUGUCUGAAC